CCGGUCGUAGCUCAGUGGUAGAGCGUUCCGCUCAUAACGGAGGGGUCGCGGGUUCAAUCCCCGCCGGUCGUA
rnacentral:tRNA from 1 species